GACGAACGCUGGCGGCGUGCUUAACACAUGCAAGUCGAACGAUGAAGCGCUGUCCUUUCGGGGGUGGUGUGGAUUAGUGGCGAACGGGUGAGUAAUACGCGGGCAACCUGCCCCUCUGCUUCGGGAUAAGCUUUGGAAACGGGGUCUAAUACCGGAUGUGCCUGUCUGGUCGCAUGGCUGGGCGGGGAAAGAUGUUUCGGCGGGGGAUGGGCUCGCGGCCUAUCAGCUUGUUGGUGGGGUGAUGGCCUACCAAGGCGUCGACGGGUAGCCGGCCUGAGAGGGUGGUCGGCCACACUGGGACUGAGAUACGGCCCAGACUCCUACGGGAGGCAGCAGUGGGGGAUAUUGCACAAUGGGCGCAAGCCUGAUGCAGCGACGCCGCGUGGGGGAUGGAGGCUUUCGGGUUGUAAACCCCUUUCGGCGCGGGACAAGGCUCCGUUUGGCGG
rnacentral:rRNA from 1 species